UACGGCGGAUGCGAGCGUUAUCCGGAUUUAUUGGGUUUCAAGGGUGCGCAGGCGGCCUGUUAAGUCAGCGGUAAAAGCCCGGGGCUCAACCCCGGCGAGCCGUUGAAACUGGCGGGCUGGAGUUGGAGAGAAGUAUGCGGAAUGCGUGGUGUAGCGGUGAAAUGCAUAGAUAUCACGCAGAACCCCGAUUGCGAAGGCAGCAUACCGGUGCACAACUGACGCUGAGGCACGAAAGUGCGGGUAUCGAACAGG
rnacentral:rRNA from 1 species